GGCUGACGGGUAAGAGGUUAGUUACCCUUCGGUCUUGUUUGAGUGAAAAUUAACUCGGCCGACGGGUAAAUGGUUAAUUACCCUUCGGUCAGGUUUGUAUGUAAACGAACCUGGUCGACGGGUAAAGGGUUAGUUGCCUUUCGGUCGGGUUUGUGUGUAAACAAAUCCGGCCGACGGGUAAAGGGUUAGUUACCCUUCGGUUGGGUUUGUAUGAAAACGAACCCGGCCGACGGGUAAAGGGUUAGUUGCCUUUCGGUUGGGUUUGUAUGUAAACGAACCUGGUCGACGGGUAAAGGGUUAGUUGCCUUUCGGUCGGGUUUGUGUGUAAACAAAUCCGGCCGACGGGUAAAGGGUUAGUUACCCUUCGGUUGGGUUUGUAUGAAAACGAACCCGGCCGACGGGUAAAGGGUUAGUUGCCUUUCGGUCGAGUUUGUGUGAAAACGAACCCAGCCGACGGGUAAAGAUGUGAAAACUAACUAACCAACCAAACUUGGAUUCUCCAGUCAAAUAUGUUUAUUGAAUCAAUAAUCAGAAUUACUAAGAAGGUAACGAUAAAAACCGACAAGACCAACAACUUAUGGGGGAAAAAGUCCUCAAGUGACCCACCCACUCCCCGACUGCUCCUGACAAUGACUGAUGGAAAAGGCCUUCAUCACCCCCCACCGCUGAUGGAUGACCUCAGUGACCCUGCCAUCGAGCUCAGAAGUCUUCCUCAAGAAAUGCUUCAGGAAUCCACCUGGAUCAUCUGGGUUUUCAUGUUGGAUUAUGACCUUCAUCGGACCGCCAUCGACUGACGGCAAAAGGCCUUCAUCACCCCCCACCGCUGAUGGAUGACCUCAGUGACCCUGCCAUCGAACUCAGAAGUCUUCCUCAAGAAAUGCUUCAGGAAUCCUCCUGGAUCAUCUGGUUUUUCAUGUUGGAUUUCGGCCUUCAUCGAACCCCCAUCGACCGACAGAAAAGGCCUUCAUCGAACCUCCUCGACCCCUGCUGAUGGAUGAUCUCAAUUACCCUACCAAUCGGAAGUCUUCCUCAAGAAAUGCUGCAGGAACCUUCCUGGAUCAUCGUCCCAAUGACGAUGGAAAAGAACCUCAUCGCUUCCUUUCUGAUGGAUGACCUUAGUGACCCAACCUUCGGGAUGAGCAGUCUUCCUCAAGAAAUGCUUCAGGAAUCGUUCUGGAUCAUCUUGUUUUUGUCUCGGAUUUCGCCCUUCAUCACCCCCCAUUGGCUGAUGGAGGAAAAUGGCUGAAGCUAAAACAUUUAUCAAAACGACUUCAGUUUGUUUUGGACAAUUUUGA